GUGGGGAUCUGUGUUUUCUUGUUGGUGGUUACCUGCACUGAUAAUCAGUGUGGGGAUCAUGUGAUCUGCAUUGUGUGGCUGCUUGUCUUGGGUCACAUGAGGCAUGUCACAUGACACAUUAGGAGAUUAUAAAGUUUGGCUUGUGGAGUUCACACUCUCUUGCUGCUGCCAUUUGCCACUGCAACUAGACUCCCGUCAUACAGGGUGACUGCUAGAACCAUGUGUUCCACUCUUCAUGAAGGACACAGGUGACUGCGUGGCAUUUGAAGGACUUGUGACCUCCUAUUGAGUUGCUGGGCUGCAGACACUCUGCACUGGAGUGCCCCAUUUUAUCUUCCUGGGUUAUUGUGCUGCGGGGAGUAUUGAACACUCUUGCAAAGUAGGCCAAUACUUCUUGUAUAUGUUGGUUUUAUGUGUGCUGGUGAAUGAAAUUGGGGAUUAAUGUGUAUUAUUUCUUUUUAAAGGGACCAGGCCAGCCACUGUUUUAUUGUCAGUGUACAAGUCUUUUUUUUUUUUUUAGUUUGUUUGUUGGUUGUUUUGUUUGCCUUUGGCUUUGUCCUUUUUUUUUUUGUUUGUUUGUCCUUGGUCUAGUGUAACCCUGCCUUGAUCAAGCCAGUGCGGUGGUCAUUGUGUUGGGGAGCUGGCUGUUCUCCUCUUUUUGUCUCUGUAUAGGUUCUCUGUACAAGGCCGGAUCUGCACCUCACUACUGCUCCUUUCAGUUGGGGGCUGCACUGAGGGGACACUAUUUUGGUGUGUACUGGUAACAUGCAACACAGUGUGGUAUUUUGUAGUGGUAAUUACUGACCUUGUGUGUGCAGUGUUUGCUACGUUGCAUGCUUGUAUGGUGUUGGGUUUGUUGUGUCUGUCUCUCUCACCAGGGCCUCCUAGGAGAGGAGCUGUGGGUGCCGUGCCGACCCGACCUUAUUAGUUUGACAAGCUCCAGCCAGUUUCCCUUCGUCUCUUUUUCACAUUAGCAAUUGUACCUAUUCAAAAUUGUAAUAAAUUUGAGCUUGUGUACAUGCCUUGUGUAAACUGUUCCUUUGCGGGCAGGGUCUAGAAUCAGCCACACUACAGAGAGAAAAGGGGUUUCCCCCGCCCAUUUUAGGGGGUGGCGUAGUCAGACAGUAAAGUACAUGUAGGUAUUCUGCGUGUCAGGUACCACAUUAGCCAG